CGGUCACGUUUUCCUAUCGUGGUCAGUUUAUCAACUUGUGCAGCAUGAAGAAGAAAAAGACCAGAGUUGUGAAGCAAAAUACAAACCUGCGUUUGGAAUCGAACCGUGACAACAUUGCAUUUGUCGCUGAAAUAAUUCGAUCUGAGCAAGAGAAUGUUCAUCAGCACAAUGUUUCAGAUGCACCGGAAAGUGCGAUUCCCCUCAGAAAUUUCCAAGAAAAACGGCCAUAGAAUCUGAUUGUAGUAAACGGUCUCCAAAACAAAAACAAACAGAAAGUCAACAUCCUAUACCAGCUACCGGCUCCCGAUCAAGUGGAGCUCGCUUGCAACAACCUGAUUUAAAUAGCUCAAAGGAAAGUGUAUGUUCACCAAAAAAGAGGUCGAAGUUGGACAAACUAUAUCUCGAUAACCAUUCAGAAUCUAAUAAAGAAUGCGAAAUGGAAGAACGGAGAACGCAAAAUUGUAAUAUACCUGGCAUACCGAUGUCUUGCAGAGUACGGCUACAAAAGAAAAGACAAAUUUGUUCAUGCACACCAUGCAUUGCAAAUCUAUAGAUCUAUUGGGAGAAACGAAGACAAGUAGUAGUUGGAAAACAUCCACCGGUAAAUUUACUUAAGUGAAAAAUAGUUAUAGUUUUUUAAGUUUCGUGUAGAAUAUUUGCAGAUUAACAACUCUUCUGUCACUAAUAAUGCGAAAGUUGUCACAAGAAUAGAAUCAAAAUAAAUGGAAUCUUCGGAUACAGACUUUACGUCAUUGGAUGAUGUCAACGGUGAAUAUUUCGUUUCUCGUUCUAAAUUACCUAUAUCUAAAACAAUUCGAACAAUCAUUAGAGAUACCACAAAGAAAAAAAAAUCGUAUGCAGUCUAUAUUGACCCCCUUAAGUAAUAGGGUAUCUCCAGCAACCAACAGCUUUACAGAUUCCUCAACUGACGAUAUGGCUAACGUUGGCGAUUACUCUUCAAAAGGUUGCGUCAAUUGUAAGAUACUUAGUAAAAAAAUUCUAAGUUUAACAAAACGUUUAACAAAUAGUGAUAGAUUUCAUUUUCAUUAAACUUGUAAUGAAAGAACUCUGGCCACAGGGAUUUCACGGCAGAACUGUAACUGGUAGAGCAUCUAAUAAUUCUUCAGGUCGAUCGAUUGAUGUCAGCAAUGCUAAUUCAUCAGUUAAUAUGCCCUUGGCAAACGAUAGUUCUGGGAAAGAACCACUUGAGAAAGAAAAGGUCAACUAUGUUAAAGGCAAAAUUUUUGAAGUGUACAUGAGAAAAUCAUUUAUGUUUUUACCUGUUUUAGAACGCCUUUAUGAAAGGAAAAUACUGACUGGAAUGGAUCCAACGACUGCUGCACAAGAAUCUGCGAGACAAUCAGAAAGACAUAUGGCAAGAGUAAUUGCAUAUUAUGCCAAAAUGGGACAUUUUUGAAGUUGAAUUAUAACAA